ACUGGGAACCGAAGAGUACAGUGAUACAAGACAGGACAUAAGCAGUACUACAAAGGUGUCUCCAAGAUUCCUCACUAUAUUAUCUA